rnacentral:tRNA from 1 species
GUCGCUGUGGCCGAGUGGUUAAGGCGAUUGACUAGAAUUUCCCAAAUUCCAGUUAUCAAUUCUCUUCGGGGGCAUAGGUUCGAGUCCUAUCGGCGACG